AUGAUGGCGGUGACCACGGCCCAGCUGCCGCAACCGCGCGCCCUGGCGGCCCUCCUCGUCCUGGUGCUGAUCACGCUGGGCGGCGCGGCCGAGGCACAGCCGCCGCUCGGCACCUGCGGCGCGCAGCUGAGCCAGCUGGCCCCGUGCGCGCGCUACAGCGUGCCGCCGCUGCCGGGGCAGGCGCUCCCGGCGCCCGGGCCGGAGUGCUGCUCCGCGCUGGGGUCCGUGUCCCGCGACUGCGCCUGCGGCGCCAUCGACAUCAUCAACAGCCUCCCCGCCAAGUGCGGCCUCCCGCGCGUCUCCUGCCGUAAGACUCCCUCCAACACUCCACGCUGA
rnacentral:rRNA from 1 species